rnacentral:rRNA from 1 species
UAGGGAAUCUUCCGCAAUGGGCGAAAGCCUGACGGAGCAACGCCGCGUGAGUGAUGAAGGUCUUCGGAUCGUAAAACUCUGUUAUAAGGGAAGAACAAAUGUGUAAGUAACUAUGCACGUCUUGACGGUACCUAAUCAGAAAGCCACGGCUAACUACGUGCCAGCAGCCGCGGUAAUACGUAGGUGGCAAGCGUUAUCCGGAAUUAUUGGGCGUAAAGCGCGCGUAGGCGGUUUUUUAAGUCUGAUGUGAAAGCCCACGGCUCAACCGUGGAGGUUCAUUGGAAACUGGAAAACUUGAGUGCAGAAGAGGAAAGUGUAAUUCCAUGUGUAGCGGUGAAAUGCGCAGAGAUAUGGAGGAACACCAGUGGCGAAGGCGACUUUCUGGUCUGUAACUGACGCUGAUGUGCGAAAGCGUGGGGAUCAAACAGG